rnacentral:tRNA from 1 species
GGAGAUAUAGCUCGGUUGGUAGAGUUCUCGCCUCGAAUGCAUAAGGCCCUGGGUUUAAUCCCCAGCACCACCA